rnacentral:ncRNA from 1 species
AUCUUCCAUGUCGUGUCGUACGAGAUGCUACAUAGCUUAUAAAAGUAAGCAAUAAACUAAGCAUACAGGUCGACACAUCUCUGUUCCGUCAUACGUAUACGGAAGAAAGUCGCGACCGGAAGUUUUACGACACCUGGGAACAGGCUGUCCGGAG